rnacentral:rRNA from 1 species
UUAAACAUGCCCGUAGUCGUUUGUCUGCCGGGGGUGAUCGAUCCGCCCGCGGGGUGUGUAUUGACACAGCCCGGCAUACACGCGGGUAUCACACCCCGCACCUAUAUGUAGAAUGUGUACUCGCCUAUAUUACUUUGAGGAAAUUAAAGUGUUCCGAGCAUGCGCACGCACCGAACACAAUAGCAUGGAAUAGCAGGAGUGGAUCGUAUUUGCGUUGCAGGUGGCUGAUACGUAGUAAUUGCAGAUAGGGAUAAUUAGUGGCAUUCAGAUUUUGCAGCCAGAGGUGAAAUUCUCGGAUUUGCUGAAGAUGAUCUACCGCGAAAGCAUUUGUCAAGUAUGUUUUCAUUGAUCAAGGACUAAGGUUAGGGGAUCGAAGACGAUCAGAUACCGUCCUAGUCUUAACAAUAAACGAUGCCGGCUAGGAAUUGAAUGGUUUCGUCAGCGUGAUCCUUCCAGCAUUUUAUGAAAAAUCAAAGCAUUUGGGUUCCGGGGGGAGUAUGGUCGCAAGGCUGAAACUUAAAGGAAUUGACGGAAGGGCACUACCAGGAGUGGAGCAUGCGGCCUUAAUUUGACUCAACACGGGGAAGCUUACCGGGUCCAGACAUAGUAAGGAU